AAAUUAAACUACUCUCUG
rnacentral:tRNA from 2 species